rnacentral:rRNA from 1 species
GACGGAAGGUGCAAGCGUUGCUCGGAAUCACUGGGCGUAAAGGGUGCGUAGGCGGCCGUGCAAGUCUGGCGUGAAAGCCCCGGGCUCAGCCCGGGAAGUGCGCUCGAAACUGCGCGGCUCGAGUGCCGGAGGGGAGAGUGGAAUUCCAGGUGGUAGCGGUGAAAUGCGUAGAUAUCUGGAGGAAUACCGGUGGCGAAGGCGGCAGUCCUGGACCGGCAUUGACGCUGAGGAGCGAAAGCCAGGGGAGCAAAGCGGG